AUUCAUAUUGGGAUUUUUUCAAAACGUGCUAAGGUAAUGGAGAAAGUGGUGGAGGUUGAAAACUGAUUAUUGAAGCUAGGUGAAAAAAAUCUGGGCAUUAGCGUCUUGACGGACGUUAGCUUGGAUGACAGUCUGCCCAUCAUGGUGUUUUUUGCUAUUUUCUUCUAUUUUUUUUACCAUAUCCUGACGGGUUGAUCCUCCUUGGGCAUGAUGAUCUCCAUAGCAACAGUGUUCUCGUCAUGACAAUAGAAAACUUGCAUUUUCUUCCUGUUUUUGCCGUUUUUUCAUCUCUUAACGCGCAUAGGCCUCCAGUUGACAAAUACUUGAAAUAAACACAUAAUACCAACAUAACACUACAAAAAAUCUAUAAAAAAAAAUGACACAAAAAAUCGAGCUAAUAAAGUAGUGCAUUUUAUGUGUUAUCCAACUCCCCCACACUUAAAUCGCUUUUCCUCAAGCAACUUUGCUUGCAAUAAAAACAUGUAAAGUGCAAAAACAUAGCAGAAAAAGGACAUAAGGAAACAUAACAUCACAACUAAUCAUAUGUGGUCACAAAUUCGGAUCGGCUUUAGUUGAUUCGAUAGGUAAUAGUGUUAACACCAAGGGUAUUGUGACAACACAAACCGCAUUUGUGGACAAAAGACUCCCUCCUAGGCAUACUAAUCCAAAUCGUGUUGUUUUACCAUAACCUCACUCUCGUAUUUAUUUCAUCCUCUUUCAUUCGAGACAGUCACAUUAAUGCCCUUAAUCAUCUAUACUAAUGUCACACACAGGGUAGGAAAGUCGGUUAGCAAUUUUAUUCAUCUUUUCUUUUUCUUUUUUCAUUUUGAUCAAUAAUGCAUUUUUUUCAUUUGGUUUUUAAAGGUUCAACCAUUGUUGGGAUAGGUAACUAGGUGAGAGUUACUCAACUUAGCAGAUGUAAUUUUCCCUUUUUAUUCUUCAUUUUUUGCUUAUAUUUAUUAAAUAUCCUACUUAAUGUGGG
rnacentral:lncRNA from 1 species